rnacentral:lncRNA from 1 species
AUAUGAGAGAAGUAAUGAGCAGAUAACUGUUGGUAAGGUAGCUGUAGCACAACUUGAUGAUCUGAUGCCCAAUAGUAUGAUUCAGUUUGGGUCAUAUGACCAUGUACAAAUGGUAGGUCUGAAUACCUGUACAAAGCUGUUGAUUUUAAGAGGAUUCUUCAUGUUGCAUAUUUUUCUACCUCCUUAAUGAAUGUGAACUUCAAAUUGUAUAUAUUGAUUGGGUAGCAUGCAAUUCGGAGCUGGUCUUGCCAGAUAGAUUUGCUUAAACAGGAAAUUGAAAUGUCAGGGUUUUGAAAAAAAAUUAAUAAAAUUUUUGGACUGUUUGCACAGAUAUAAUAUUUUAAUCAUAAAACUGAUGAUAUAAUGAGUAAUUAUAUGGUUCAUUUUGUUUGAACGGACCAUUCACUCAAUGUAGUCUUAUUUUUUUUUCAAACAUAGAGUUCUAUAACAUUAUCCUAAGAAGAUAAGAAAUAUCCAAUAGAGAUUGACCAAUGUGUAACAUUAUCAAAUACCUGAACAUAAACUGUAAUAACAUAAGACUGCUAAUUUAGAAAUUCUCAUUAAAGGUUUUACUUCAAAUUCAUACCAUGUUAUUAAAUAGUGUUUUUAGAUCCAUAAAACAUCAAUAUCUGAUUAUAAAAUAAGAGUAAUAUUUCAACAGGCCCUAAAGACAUUGAAGAAUAUGAACUGGUACUGCAUGUCCCUUCUACUACAGCUCUCUGAGGAUAGUCUCAACAGGUGUCCAAUAUU